UGGGGGAUAUUGCACAAUGGGGGAAACCCUGAUGCAGCGACGCCGCGUGAGUGAAGAAGUAUUUCGGUAUGUAAAGCUCUAUCAGCAGGGAAGAAAAGCUGACCGAAAGGUCAGCGGACNGUACCUGAAUAAGAAGCCCCGGCUAACUACGUGCCAGCAGCCGCGGUAAUACGUAGGGGGCAAGCGUUAUCCGGAUUUACUGGGUGUAAAGGGAGCGUAGACGGUUAUGUAAGUCUGAAGUGAAAGCCCGGGGCCCAACCCCGGGACUGCUUUGGAAACUGUGUAACUAGAGUACAGGAGGGGCAGGCGGAAUUCCUGGUGUAGCGGUGAAAUGCGUAGAUAUCAGGAGGAACACCGGCGGCGAAGGCGGCCUGCUGGACUGAAACUGACGUUGAGGCUCGAAAGCGUGGGGAGCAAACAGG
rnacentral:rRNA from 1 species